GAGUUCGGGUCUAGAAAACCAGGUACUUAUGAAAUGAAAGUAGACCCAGAACUCAAAAAUGUCAUGUCCAAUCUGGUGACUAGAAUGAACAACUUAAGUAAAAAGUUUGAUGCUUUCACUGUUUCCACUAGCUCGAGUUCAUAUAAAGAGUUAAAUCCCAUCAUGAAAGUGGAUCACGAGUCACAUAGUUUAUGUAUCUUGUGUAACAGUUCUGAGCAUCUAGUGGAGUGUUGUCCUAGUUUACCCAACAUUAAGGCUGAGCAGCAAAUGCUCUAAACUCAUAUAGUGCCUUCAAGAAGCCCACUCC
rnacentral:lncRNA from 1 species